CCUACGGGGGGCAGCAGUGGGGAAUAUUGCACAAUGGGGGAAACCCUGAUGCAGCAACGCCGCGUGGAGGAUGACGCAUUUCGGUGUGUAAACUCCUUUUAUAUAGGAAGAUAAUGACGGUACUAUAUGAAUAAGCACCGGCUAACUCCGUGCCAGCAGCCGCGGU
rnacentral:rRNA from 1 species